CUGAUAGGGGAUUCCAGGGUUCCUGGCUACCAGAGGAUGUCCAGCUUCCAGAGGGCAGUGUGGACCAUGACCUGAGAAAAUGUUACUCACGGGAGUUCUGCUAACUCAUGUUAACACAGGGUUGUGAACACAGGGGCCUUUGUAAGGAAGCACACACAUUGAAGCCUGUGUCCUCCCAUCAUGCAAUGGAACUGAGGAGGUGACGUUUUCUUAAGAGAGGAGACUAUCAUCACCAUUAACAAAAGAAGACAGAUUGGGGAAACAGCCUCUGAGGCCACAGUUGAGGGAUGCAGCUGGGCCAAUGGGCAGCAACGACCGAAAUCACUUGAAAGAAAAACAGGCGACAUGAAAUCGGAGACUCCUGGAGAUGCACCACAGAGGUCACCUAACCUGACUCUCUGGCCUGCAAAGCCUCAAAUAAGACGGGUCAAAUCAAAAAGACUUCUUCAGGUCCGUGGGCUUAACGGCAUGGAGAUGACCGCUGAACCCGACAGGAGCUGCUGCAGCAGAUGACGGAAGGAACCACGGCAGAGGUGAUGAUCACGAAGCAGAAAAUGCGGCUGAUCUCAAAAAUGAAAACAACUCAUCUUGAAAGGAGAAAGAGAAUAAAGAGAAAAAGGACUGUAAUGUCAGAGAUUCCUGAAAAUGACAAACUGUAUACCUACCUGCAUGAGAUCCUGAAGGCUUUCAACAAAAGAAAUCUCUGCUUCAACCAUAUAAAAUUCAGCCAAGUGUCUCCGGCUCUGAGAAUUCUCAGCUCGGAAUGUUGGGCCAAAGAAACAAACCACUUCUGGGUGCACUCUACGGAAGCUGCCUUAAACAGCAGGCAACUACAUUUCACUGCAGUAAGAACAAAGUAAAGGAAAAGUAUCCCAGCUCAAGAAACAGAAUUGAGUUAGUAACGACGACGACGACGACGACGACGACGACGACGACGACAACUAGAAUUUCAUGUGGAUAAGAACAAGAAAUUGAAGUUCAUAGUGGUUAAGAAGCUUUCCCACAAGUCUCAGAGUCAAGGCUAGACUCAAGUCCAGAAACACUGUUAUACUACAGCCAACGAUGACAAUAAAACUGUGCUACUAAUCUUCCACAGUCAUGAUGGCUUUUGCAACAAGGCUUAAAAACUGAUUUUUGGCCUUUUGGUUAGAUCAAGUGUAGUACAGCUUAAACCAACCACCAUUUAAAAUAAAACCAGAGAACAAGGCCAUUUCUAAAAUAAGACCCCAAACCAGGUAAGGUCGGGACUGCUGUGAAGAGCCCAGCAGAAAAUAGUCAGCAAUAAAAAACAUUUUGUGUUGCCUUAUGGAGAGAUGAGAGCUAUAUAAGGAAAAUCUUGAGCUUAGAGUAGGUGUUUAAGAUAACAAAAGUACGUUCAAUACACAUCAAUCAAGAUAGCUACAAAAACUGGCUUUUUGGGAAAAAAAAGUGAAAUUAUAGAGAAGGCUCUACAGGGGUCACUUUUUCUCUCAUGGAGUUUUCUGA